rnacentral:ncRNA from 1 species
GAUGCUGAAUUAGUGAUUGGCGUCGAUCAUUUUGACAAAACUUAGGAGUUAGCAUGUCACUAACUGUUGAACAGAAAGCUGAGAUUUUAAAAGAAUUUGGCCAAGGCGA